AGUGCCUGAGUAAAGUGGACGGUCGACGAUUAGGCCUACAGAAUUGCAGUUUGUAAUCUUCGUCAGCACAACAGUAGAAUGAUUAUGAAGCCGAGGAAGAAGGGUGCAAUCCUUUGUCCUGGAUCUCAUGAAGAAGACCUGCAAGUUACGCGUAUUCUCCUGAACAAGCCAGCGGCUUAUUCCUCCGAACUGCGGACUGAUUCGCGGACUCUAUGAGAGACACGCCCUGGGAAAACCACCUCCGUCGCCGUAGAAACGGCCCUGCUGGCCGGUCUCUGAUGCAGUGUCGCUUUGUGAAGGAAAGAGGCCGACGAAGACGAGCCUCGUGCGCUUGUGACGGACACACCGCUCUGAAGGCCCGCCCUCUUUGUAGAGUGACAGCAGAAUUUGCCGGUCUAGCUUCUGCUGAGCUGAGAGCGUUCUUCACUGCACUGGACCAGUAAUCGCCAUAGUUUCGGGCCUGUGGUGGACCAGUAAUCGCCAUGGUUUCUGCAGCUGCACUGGACCAGUAAUCGCCAUGGUUUCGAGCCUGUGGUGGACCAGUAAUCGCCAUGGUUUCUGCGGCUGCACUGGACCAGUAAUCGCCAUGGUUUCUGCGGCUGCACUGGACCAGUAGUCGCCAUGGUUUCUGCAGCUGCACACACACAGGGAUGCUGUCAUUGCAGAACUCCAUUAUACUCCUGUAUUCUCCUGAUGCAGAUACGACAGCCAAGGCGGCACACGGUGGAGUUGGAGGAAGACCUUUCUUAUGUGCGGGGCUGCCAGAGAACGCUGAAACCCCCCAAACCGACUAAACCCUCCCAACACCUCCAUCACCAACCGUGCGUCACCCCAACAAGCUCAAUCCAUCAGCACCCAACGUGGUCCGGGUCCGACCCACGCCGACGACGUGGUGCUUUAACCCGAUGAGCCACUCAGCAGCCUGGUGUGCCACCUGGUGUUUUUGAAUGCCUACGCUUGGCGGUCGAGUUCGCGCAUUAAAAGCAACGGUUGCAGAUAAUUGACCGUUCCAAAAAUAGGCUGAGAAUUGGAUGUUUUCUGCCCCGUUUUGGCUUAAUUAGACCUGGUAGUGUCCAGAUUGUACGAGCAGGGUUUAUGAGAAGUGGAUACAGGGGAACAUUAGUGGUGAAGAAUGUCUUGAUUACACAUUUAAAUGCUGUACUUAGCACAUUAUGUUGUGCUUGUUGAAUAUGAGGUAUAAAUAGUUACUAGUCAAAUUAUUGUAUUUGCUUUUGCAAAAUUCCAUAAAUUGCAUGCAGAGAUGUCCAUAAAUUGCAUAAGGCUACAGCCUUAGCUUGAGUUUACAAGUUCACAAAUACUGGAAUUCUAUUUAGAUGAUGUCUGCAUACAUGGAAA